UGGGGAAUAUUGGACAAUGGGCGCAAGCCUGAUCCAGCAAUGCCGCGUGUGUGAAGAAGGCCUUCGGGUUGUAAAGCACUUUUAUCAGGAGCGAAACGCUGUCGGCUAAUACCCGGCGGAACUGACGGUACCUGAGGAAUAAGCACCGGCUAACUUCGUGCCAGCAGCCGCGGUAAUACGAAGGGUGCAAGCGUUAAUCGGAAUUACUGGGCGUAAAGCGUGCGUAGGCGGUUUCUUAAGUCUGCUGUGAAAUCCCCGGGCUCAACCUGGGAAUGGCAGUGGAUACUGGGAGGCUAGAGUGUGUCAGAGGGUGGUGGNAUUCCCGGUGUAGCGGUGAAAUGCGUAGAGAUCGGGAGGAACAUCAGUGGCGAAGGCGGCCACCUGGGACAACACUGACGCUGAGGCACGAAAGCGUGGGGAGCAAACAGGAUUAGAUACCCUGGUAGUCCACGCCUAAACGAUGCGAACUGGAUGUUGGUCUCAACUCGGAGCAUCAGUGUCGAAGCUAACGCGUUAAGUUCGCCGCCUGGGGAGUACGGUCGCAAGACUGAAACUCAAAGG
rnacentral:rRNA from 1 species